AGAUCUUGAUGCAGACGCCCUUUUGGAUUUCUUUUUAAUAGUGUGUGACCCUUCACCUUUGAUCCCUUGACCUGCAUUACUUUGGACUACAGAUUAAAAUUGUAGCGAGCUGUUCACGUAGUGCCACUGGGCUCAGCUGGUGCCUGGCCUCUGAAGGAGCCUGGAGCUCACCUGAACACCCUCCUGGACUGCAUUUGGCUCUGCUCCUGUCUGGGAGUCCUGCUGACCUGAGCCUGAGCUGUCUCCUUCCCCUCUGAGGAGUCCUCUGUGAGUUUUGAGGGUUCAGCCCUAGCAGGUUCUACCUGAACAGAGGGGAUGCACCAUCAACAUCAGAACCUGGUUCAGGAAACAGCUGGUUUGAAUUGGCAUCCCUGCCUGAGAAGGGUAUUUCCAGCACUGAUCUCCGUACUUAACUGCAAGAUCGUUGUUUUUAAACUGCCCUUGUAUGGCAGAAUUGCCUGCUAAAAUAGUGGCAGAUGCAGUAUCCACAGAAUUCCCUGCCCAGCACCUCUCUGUUACUGUAUGAGUUUCUCUGACCCCGUGGCUAUGAGCUGUGCUGGACUGUCACAGUCUCCAUCAGUGCUUGAAGCAUUCAGAUGGAUUUUCCCUUCCCCUCCUGUUCCAAAUUUCAGCUGUAAUUGUUUUUGUAGACCUGGAGUUGUCAGUUCUGGUACACAGACUGCUGCUUCUCACCAAGCCUGUCUGGGAUGGCUGGGAUGUGGCUUUGGCUUGGGUUUAAUGCUACCUGUCAGCCUGAGAAGAAGAAUCUUCCAGAAACCAUCUUAAGCCAUUUCUCCAGUCUCCAGAACAGGAUUUUUAAAACUCAUUGGGAAAAAAAUACUUACUUACUUUGCCCAAGCAAACUCUUUGAAGACUCUUUUUCUCCUCAUAACACAUAUUUUAUGUUGGCAGCAGUUAGAUGUGAAUGCCUUGACUUUCCAGUGCAGCAAUUCUUAAAAACCUUUAUUUAAACGUCUGGAAACUGAAGGAAAUCUCCUUCCCUGUGCAGAGAGCUGGCUGUUGGCUGCCUCCUGCUAGAACAAAUAGCAGGGAAAAAGAAGAAAUGGAAUAAAAAUGUCUGAUGUUGGUAAUUGGAGUCAAUAAUAAAAAAAAUAGAGCUUAAAAAAUAGUUAGAAUGUCUUGGGUUUUUUUGUUUGUUUUUUUUGUCUCAUUUCAUGUUUUGUCAUGUCCAUCUUGCCUUCUUUCAUAAGGUAAGCACUCUGACCCAUGGCAUUUUCCGGGUGUAGCUCCCAAGGUGGUGGGAUGACAGUGAUGCAUGCUUUGUUGUGAUAUUUCCAUGUAUUGUGUUAGAUGCAGAAUGGUUAUUCGCAGAAAUCACUGUAAAUAAUAUGGGUCAUGGCUGUUCAGCUAUUGCAUGGGGCUUCCAGGAUGCUAGAGCUACUGAGGGAGGAGGAGGUAUACAGCCUUUGGGAAGGGAGGAGAUAGGAAUUGUCCCCCAUUUCCUCUAUAAAACACAGUAAAUAUUGGCAAGAAAAGCUGCUUUGUUGACCCAGCAGUAGCACUGCUAUUUGCCCCAGUGUAAAAUCUGUCCCCAGGUUUUUGCUGCAGUGCUGCUGGAUACAGCAGGAACAGCAACAGCUGACCCUUAGAUGGCAAGAGAAGAUGGAACUCAAUUCACUUUACUGAGCUUGUUUUUCACUGAGCAGUAACUCAAAUACAUGUUUUCAUCAAACACUUAAUCAAAGAACUACACAAAUGCUGCAAAAUGUUUGCAAAGCAAAACAUUUGUCUAUUUAGAUAUUGAGAGAAUACUCUAUUGAGAGAUUUGUUCCUGCUUAUGAGAUUUUUCUGUUACUCAAAGCCAGAAUGUUGACAACAUCCACUCCUGAAACAAGUCUUAAUUUUGAAAUCUAUGCAGUAUCUUCUGCUGCUGGAGGCUCUUACGUAUUAACCUUAAGAGAAGGCUGAAGGGCUGAAAUGAAAUCCUUGGCACACGUACAAGAUUCAGAGUGUUGCAUGUCUUGCAGUUCAGGUUUGGCUUGUCUGCUUUUCAGCUCUUCUAGACAUUGGAAAUUCCAGUUUGUGUUUAUUUUCUCUGGAUUCCUUCCCACAAGACAGAAGUGAAUUCAGCAUGGAUUAUUGGGGAGAGCCUUGGCUGGGAAUAAGGAUAAUUGCAGCCUCUGGCUGUGCCACAGUUUCACUGAUGAUUUCUUUUAAGUUACUCACCUGCACUGUAUCUGUUUCCUCAGCUGUAAAAUGUGGGUAAUUACCUCCAUUGUAAAAUGUUACAGGGUCUGCUGGUAAUUAUAUGAACGAAGUGCUAAUUACAGUGAUUAUCCCUUGGACCUAGUCUAGAUCUGGCUGAUGUUCCUGUUGUGAUGAACGGAUGAAACAAAUACUACAACUUGCUUUUCUCCAUUCUUUGUGAGGGGCCUGGAAGGUGCCACAUCACGCAAUGUGCUCCCAGUGAGAAGCUCUGCUGCCCUGUCACUCAGGUCCCUCUGUUCAUUUCUCAUUCCCCUCUGCCCUUGUGUGUGACAGGGCUGAGGAAGGGGCUGAGGAAUUACUGAUUCAGUAGUUGGAUCCACAUAUGAUCUGGUAGCCAGGGUUUAUGCUGUGGCUUGGCUUUUCCUCUUGUGGAUAUGUGGAAGGCAGCAGCCAGGGAACUGUCCUCCCGAGGUACCAACUGGGUUGGGGCCAGUCUGUGGCCUAGUGGCCUCUGUUCCUUAAAAAGUUUUGACCUUGAUGCCAGGAGAGGUGUCCUUCCAGCUGUGGAGAUUAUUUCCCUCCUGUAAAAGUUUACAGCUUGCAAGACUUUAUUAUCAAACAUUUUAUUUGCCUUUCUCUUCUCCGUUUAUUUAGGACACAUUUUCUUUGUAGCUGGGAAUAGCUCUACUAUCCCCUGAGCAGGGCUGGGUAGUGGAGGAAGAAUUUAUAUUCUUCAAGGUAGAAAUGGAGUGUUCUCAUCCAGAAAAUCCUGCUGCUGGGAAGGCACUGUAGUUUUUGAUGAUAGUAAUAAGUCACGUCAUAUAUCCAGUAAUGAUGAGAGUCUCCUCACCUACCCAAUCCCUGCCUUCCUUGGACACAGACCUCAUGGCACAGUAACAACAAAAAUCCUGUGCAUCUUGCUGCAGCUCUGCCUGCUCAGUUCUGCCACAUCUGAUUCCGUGCCUUCCUGGAUUCUGCUGGAUGGAUUUUCUGCCUUUGCCUCCAGCCUCUAUACACCUGCUUCCCAUCAGCCUCAGCCUUUUUUUGCCCUGGAAGAGCAAGGCUCAGUAGUUAUGUCUUGAAAAUUUAGUAGCUGAGCAGCUCUUCCUUUCUCAGAGUUUGACGAGUGCGAUGCAUUUUUAACUUUCUAGAGAAGGUUUUAGUUCCUGUCCAGGAUGAUGGUUUGGAAAGGCUUUCUGGCAAUGGAAAGGCAGUCUUUAAUUGCGGUUUUGCACCUGAAUUUUCCAGACUAGAUGGUCUUCUCUGACAGAUUCUGUGUGAUUGAUUCUACAGCCUCUUCUUUUCCAUGACAGGAUACUUGAGUGCUCCAGGGAUGGGAGCAACUUUCCACUCCUGAUAGGUGAAAGUGGUCAUUGCCAGGCAAUGAGGGCAUGGAAAGAACUUCUCUUGUUAGGUGGAGGAAAAGAUAAAUGAGGGAUUAUCAUCUCUCCCACAAUUUGCUCUUUCCUUGCUUUAGAGCAUCUAAACUAGAGGGGUGUGUCUGUAGUGUGUCUGGCUUCACCAAAUGCUCAUCUGCCAGGCUUCUUCGAAAAUCCUUUGUUCGGGAAGCAAAAAAUUUAGUUUGUUCCUGCAGAAGCAUCAUGUAUUAAGAUGAAUUCAUUUGGUGUGAGAGGCUUCAAAAGUGAAUGAUGCCAUAUCCAUGUUCUUAUUGCCCGUUGCACAUGUGAACUGAUUUGUGUGCUCUCUGCAAGUCACAUGCUGAAGGAUGUUAAAUUACUGUGUAACCUGCAGGGUAAUCGGUGAUUCAGAUUUGAGAUUUAGCCAAGUCUAAUUUUGCAGCAUUCUUGCAAUAUCUGGGAUUUCUGUAUCUUAGAACCACUCUGAAUGCUGUACAUUAAAAGUGUAGCUAACACACCAUUUUUAAAAAAUGUUUAGUAACAUAAUAAUUAUUACUUUUCAGUCUUCUUUCUCUUAAAAAUCAGUGCACUGUUUGAUUUUCAUUGAGGUGCAAAGUGUUGUGUAAAAUCACUGCAACUUGUGACAAAAAAUGCUUUCAAGUGUCUGAAUGAAAAUGCAGCAUCACCAUGAAAACAAAAGUGUUGAUGCAAAAGUGGUUCCAAACGAGGUGCUGCUAAGUGAAGGUUUCCCUGCUUUUGAGAGCGGGUUUUUAAGCAGUGAUAUACCCUUUGGGGGGCAAUUGCACACCCCAGGGAAGGAGCUGAGGAGCACUUUGUGUAUGUCAGAGGUUGCUGCAAAGAGAUCUACUCAUUUUUACUUCUUUCUGUAAUUACCUGUCGCUGCUUGGCUUUGUGAGUCAAUAGGUUUCAGACAAACGCCGAGCGGAGCAGUGCCGGGAGUGCCGCAGCCCCCGCGCUCGCCCGUCCCGUGCGGGCUGUACCGGGCCCGCGGUGCUUUCGGCAUCGCCUCCUCCCCGGCCUGCUCGGUACCGGGCCCGCGGUGCGUGCCGGCGGCACGGCCUGUUCCCCCGGAGCCGCCGGCCGAGCCUGCCGGUGCUGCCUGUCCCAGCGCCUCGCCGGAGAAGGAGGAAGAGGAGGGUUUCCACCGCGCCCCGUUUCCAGCUGCCCCCGUGUCUGUACGGACGCGGAAUCCCCACAGGAGGGUGCUGCGAAGGCACUGAAUGUGCAGGUUUGCAGGGAAGAUGAGGGCUUGGAGAAGACGGCGAUUGUAGGGCAGCCAACGCCGUGGCUCCGGCAGGGGCAGCGCCUCAGGCGGCCCCGGGGAGGGGCGCGGGGGGAGGCGGGCGCUGAAGCUCGCAGCUCCCCGCUGCCGUGCCGGUGGGCUCCCGUGUCCGGCUGUCGGAGUGUGAACGACGGCAGCGGGAGCACUGACACUCGGGUGCUGCAGGGCCUUGAGGGCUUGGUAGCUGCAAAGCGUCCCAGGGCCGUUCCCCUGCGUCCUGCUUGUGACUGGUGCUGGGACCCUUCGCUGUGAGCAUCAUCCGUGGCCAAUGGCUCGUGUGGCUUCUCUCCAGCGAGCCUUGGGGGCACCCAGCUACUCUCCUGUCUGCGUGUAGUAUGUUUAGUCUGCACAAGUGGCAAAAUGCAUUUUCUUGCAAGUAGAGACAACCUCCGAGUGCUGUCCUAAAAUACUUUGUAAACUGGACCAUUUUAUUCAGCAUGAUCAGAUGAGAAAUAAUGGCAAAACCUCCCUUUGGUUCCUGGCUGUGCAACCCUCUUCCAAAUAUUUUAGUUAAAGGGAUUAUUCCUUUUGCAUAAUACGUGCUCAUGCCAAAAAAAACUUGUCUGGCAAGGUCAGUUAAGCAGCACUUUCAUGUGAUUCUUCCUUUAGCUGGGUGCUGCUUCACCCUGAAAUGGUGUGAUCAUUUAAAAGUAAACAACCCUCCACCCCAGGGGCUGCACACAUCUGCUCUGGCCCGCACUUCUUUCUGCUGCUUUUCACUUUUUAAAUAAACUUUUGAAGCUGAGGAUUGUAUAACUGAAGUAGAGACUUCUCUUUGGGAUGAUCUCUAGGACAUGUGGGGGAUUCAGUCUAAUUCUGUUUAUAUGGGAGUGUGGGAGCUCUGAUCCCUUUUAAUGGCAGCAGGAUCAACUCAUGGAGCUGUGUUAGAGAGGGGGUGUAAAAUCAGCUACUCAUUCAUUGCAUCAGAGCACCUCAGUUGGAAACCUGGGACUGAGAUCCAUCCGUGUGUGAGUCCCUGUGGGGUUCUGUGCUGGCCACGGGGUAUCACGGCAUGUGCCAGUUCAGGCUUUGGGUCCCAGGUGUUUGGAUGGAGGACUGUGUCCAGCAGUGACGGUGCUUUGUGUUGCUCCGUGGGUUUGACACUCAUCUGAAAUUGCAUCACCAAAAACCCUUUUGGUGGGAUGGGUGAUCCCCAAGUUUGGCUCAUACACACUGUGAAAGGGGUGCUUGGCAGCAGUGGGGGCUUUGCCUCAGCACCUGCAUGGCAGGACAGAGCUGGUGUCGUGUCCGAAUGCUGCUAGAUCAGCUGCAGGCGAAUACAAAUAGACUUGGAUUUUGGCCCUGUAAAGGGAGACUUUCAGCUUCCCCCGGGAAUUCUGCCUUGGCAGAAACCAGCUGUAGUUCAGUGGUUUCUGUUACCAGGCAGAGUCUGUUUGGAUGUUAGAAAAUUAGAGCAGAAAUUCCUGCAGCAGUCAGCUGUGUCUGCGUCACCUCUGUGACCUCUAACUGCUACUCCUGCAAACAGUUGCCAUUAAACACAGUCAAUAACCCCCUUCUGCAUUCUAUUGGAUCAUCUCUUCCUGCCAUCUCAAAUGAAAAAUAAACAAAAGAGCUUAAGCGUGCAACGUGCUAAAUAGACUAAUCAGCUGUGAAAAUAUUUUAUGGGGGAAUCUGGGGCAAGAGCUGUCAGUGGGAGUGAGCUGAUUGGAGCUGCAGCAAAACAGCUCCAGGAGGCGGCCAUGGGGACAGAAGGGAAAGAUUUGCUCAAAUGUAUGUGUGCUAUUUUUUUUACCCCUUUCUGAGUAGUUUUAGGAAAUCCCUCCCUCUGUAAAUUGAUUACCUCUGCACAUCAGAAGGCCUUGGCUCUAAGUACGCACUAAGCUGCUCCUGUGCUGAUUUGACUUUGCCUGUUAAAUGUAAAACAGGUUUUAAUCUUCUCAUUUAGAUGUUUUAAUAGAAAGUAAAUGUUUAACUUGCUUUGCUGUGGCCUCCAAAUCUUUAAUCCGUGGGAAUGUUUUUAAUGAAAGGAAAACCGUGCUUUUGUUUAAAGCAGGGGUUGAUGCUGCAGGCAGUAGUGCUGGUGGGGGGAACUGCAAACUCGCAUCAGGAAUUUUUGGCACUGGUGGAUCCCGGAUUUGGGGAUUAUGGGUUUAGGAAUAUGCUGGGGAGGGUGGCAAGGACCCUGUUUUGGGACAGUCUGUUGCUGGGAUGGGACAUGUAACAAUGCUGUAAAUUCAGUGUCAGUGAUUCCUGCCCCUGAAUUCAGAGCUGUCCCUGUGUUUUGAUGGUGUUACAGGGCUGUUGCUGCUCCAGCAAGGGAGCGCUGAGCAGAGCCAUGUGCAUGCCAAGGAAACUGCAGAACAGCAGCACCGGGUUUUCUGCACACAAAAAGGGGUUUCUGCUCUUCUGAAGCCACUCAGCUUACUUAUGAUUUAAUUUGAUGUAAUUUGUUAAAAAAUGACAUGUGCACAGGACACAUAUGGCUGGCAAAGUACCAUGACAAAGUCAAAACUGAAUGAGGAGUGGAGCACACAGUGAAUAUAGGUAGAAACCACCUAGGAACAAGCACAGGAACCUGUGCCCACUUUGGGGCAGGACCCACAGCUGUUUGCCCCUUCAGUUGCAUUUUCUGCUUCAAAUUAGAAUUGGGACUUUAUUAGCUUAAAAAGUGCAGCAAGUCCUAGAAGAUGGAGAGUGCUGCCAAAGGAUUUACCUGCGUGUCUCCCACCAGCCUGUGCUGCCAGAGGGGAGAUGCUGUUCAGGGCAGCUGAAGGCAGACAGGCACCUACAAGGAAGUGCUUCAUGAACAACAUUUCCCUCAUUGGAAAGCCAACUGCACCGAUAAAGCUUUGGCUGGGUAAAUAAAGUGCUCUGAUUUCCAGGCCUGUAUUGUAAGUUGUCGAGUGGUAAUUGUGUAAGUGCCAGGGUUAUAAAUAGCGGGUGCAGCUGGCAAGCCCCAGCCGUGGCACACCGCGGCACCGGUGCUCCAUAGUGAGAAUUGGGAGGAUUGUUCUCGUUGGGGUUUUGGCUUCUCCCUUCACACUCCAUGCUUUUCCCACCUGGGCUUGCAGGGCCUGGUUCCUGCAGCCAGGCCUGGCUGUCCUUCGUGGGACAGGGGCCAGCUUGGACACAGGAGCAUCCUGCGGCACCUGGAUUUGUACCUGAUCUGUGCAUCAACUGGGCCGUAUGCGGAAAGCAAGAGAAAAACUAUUGGUAAAAUAAUAAAUUGACUUCAAACCAAAACAGUUCAUUAUUGCAGAGUCAGUACACUUAAUAGGCUGAUGCUGCAUCACAGGUGUGUGGAUGCCCGUGGAAAAUGGUGUCAUAUGGAGUUUCCCAGCAGUAUCUGCAGUGAAGGAUUCGCUGUUCUCCACAGGAUGACUGGGGAGCAGUUUGCAUACAUCCAUGGUGAAACAGAGCUGCUCCUUCACUGUGCACUGGAGGGAUGAGUUAGGGUUUUACAGCAUAGUAACCUAAAUGUUUAAUUUUCUCAAUUGUCAUUGUUCUAAUUAAAUUAAUUUGCAGGUUU